rnacentral:rRNA from 1 species
AGGAUAAACGCUGGCGGCGUGCCUAACACAUGCAAGUCGAACGCGCUUUCGGGCUUCGGUGCGAGAGCGAGUGGCGGACGGGUGAGUAACACAUGGGUACCUACCUUGGAGUGAGGGAUACCGGCGAGAAAUCGCCGACAAUACCGCAUAGGCUUCUUCACAAGGGAAGCAAAGUGACGCGAGUCACGCUUUGAGAUGGGCCUGUGGCCGAUUAGCUAGUUGGGGGGGUAACGGCUUCCCAAGGCGACGAUCGGUAGCUGGUCUGAGAGGACGAUCAGCCACACUGGGAUUGAGAACGGCCCAGACUCCUACGGGGGGCAGCAGUGAGGAAUUUUCCGCAAUGGAGGCAACUCUGACGGAGCAACGCCGCGUGCAGGAGGAAGGUUUUCGGAUCGUAAACUGCUUUUCUCGGGGACGAGCAAGGGACGGUACCCGAGGAAGAACGCCCCGGCUAACUACGCGCCAGCAGCCGC